CCCCUGGUGGUCUAGUGGUUAGGAUGCGGUGCUCUCACCGCUGCGGCCCGGGUUCGAUUCCCGGUCGGGGAA
rfam:Manacus vitellinus contig38555, whole genome shotgun sequence.